AAUUAAGGUGAUUCCCUCUCCCCGGGGCAGGCAGUGCCCUCUUAGGAAGGUAGCUGCUGGGAAUAACACCCACGAGCCUCCAGCUCUCUGGGGAGACCAUGAUCAUAACUCCCUUUGCCUUCCUUUGGCUGCCUGCCUGU
rnacentral:snoRNA from 1 species